AGAGGCUACCUGGGGGAGCUUUGUCACUGUGUGUGUAACAGCACUUGCCCCUACAGCCUGCUAGAGGCUACCUGGGUGAGCUUUGCCUGUGUUUUGAGUCACUACACUUGCCCCUACAGCCCUGCUAGAGGCUACCUGGGGGAGCUUUGUCUGUGUGUGUCACUACACUUGCCCCUACAGCCUGCUAGAGGCUACCUGGGGGAGCUUUGUAGUUGUAGUAGUGUGUGCUGAUUGUCGCGGGCCGUUCGGCGCUUCAUUGAGCCCCUCCCUCCUCUCUUAGCAACUGUGAAGUUAGUUAGUUAUAAAAUAAUAAUUAAUUUAACAAAUGUAGCGCCCUGCGCUGUGGUUACCCCUAUGGUACAGUGCGGGACAGUAGUUACCUCGGUACAGUGCGGGACAGUAGUUACCUCGGUACAGUGCGAGACAGUAGCUAGCCCCGAGGUACAGUGCGGGACAGUGGUUGCCUCGGUACAGUGCGGGGCGGUUGUUAACCCGACGUACAGUGCGGGACAGUGGUCGCCUCGGUACAGUGCGGGACAGUAGUUACCUCGGUACAGUGCGAUAAGUUGUUUACCCGAGGUACAGUACGGGACGGUGGUUGACCCGAGGUACAGUGUGAUACAGUAGUUACCUCGGUACAGUGCGAUACAGUAGCUAGCCCCGAGGUACAGUGCGGCACUGUUGUUACCUCGGUACAGUGCGAUACAGUAGUUAGCCCGAUGUACAGUGCGGUAGUUGCCGAGGUACAGUGCGGAACAGUAGCUAGCCCGUGGUACAGUGCGGGACAGUAGCUAGCCCGUGGUACAGUGCGAUACAGUGGCUAGCCCCGAGGUACAGUACGUUAGCUGCGGUUGCCUAGGAAACACCGCGCUCGGGUGGUUAACCUGCUACAGUGCCCUUAGGUGGUUAACCUUCGUACAGUACACUCCGGAACGGGGGGGCGUGGCACAGCGGUUACCAUGGUUACCUUGGUACAGUGCGGUGUACAGUGUGGGGCGCGCACUGCGGGGGGCGUUGCUAAAGCACCUGACGAGGUAACCAUGGCAACGGGACUGGUAGCCAUGGCGAUAGACACUGGAAAAGCAACAUUUCCAUGGCAACGCGUGAACAGAUUGGUCACCAUGGUAACACGCUGGUUGCCGUGGUUACGUGCUGGGUGUUGCCGCUGGUUGCCAUGGUGAUGGGUCCGGGUGUUUGAUCCGUAUCUUGACUGUAGUCCGGCUACAACCACCACGACUACAACCACCACCACAACUACAACCAC